GGGCGUGUGGUCUAGUGGUGUGAUGUCUCAGUUGCAAAAAUGUUCGUUGUCUUGAAACUGUUAGAAGGAUAAAACAGGUGCAAGGUUUGAAUCAUAGAAUGCUCCGUGGGAAGGCCCAGGUUCAAACCCCGGUACAUCCA